rnacentral:rRNA from 1 species
GACGAACGCUGGCGGCGUGCUUAACACAUGCAAGUCGAACGGAAAGGCCCUGCUUUUGUGGGGUGCUCGAGUGGCGAACGGGUGAGUAACACGUGAGUAACCUGCCCUUGACUUUGGGAUAACUUCAGGAAACUGGGGCUAAUACCGGAUAGGAGCUCCUGCUGCAUGGUGGGGGUUGGAAAGUUUCGGCGGUUGGGGAUGGAUUCGCGGCUUAUCAGCUUGUUGGUGGGGUAGUGGCUUACCAAGGCUUUGACGGGUAGCCGGCCUGAGAGGGUGACCGGCCACAUUGGGACUGAGAUACGGCCCAGACUCCUACGGGAGGCAGCAGUGGGGAAUAUUGCACAAUGGGCGGAAGCCUGAUGCAGCAACGCCGCGUGCGGGAUGACGGCCUUCGGGUUGUAAACCGCUUUCGCCUGUGACGAAGCGUGAGUGACGGUAAUGAGUAAAGAAGCACCGGCUAACUACGUG